CUGAAAAGUAUACCUAGCGGAAAAUGUUAUUUAAAAAAAUAUUUAAUAAAUUGUCUUAAGUCAAGCGAGCAUCAAAGGAAAAAAUAUACUUUAACUUAGUAAUUGUUUGCCAAUAAAAGUCUAAAAACUAAUGUAACAACAAAAAAAAAAGAGACGAUAUUAGAGAGCUGAACUGUAGAGAGAUUAUAUUUUUCCUGUUCGAUUUUUGCACGACCCCUAAAGCCACUCCCACCUCCACAGUCUGCCUUCCACUUUGGAGUGUUUAAGCGGCUCGGCACUGUCAUGGCAACCAAGUCGAGCAGCCAUUGAAUCCAUCAUGUAACAGAGGAGUGUACACCUUCAAAACGACCACAACCUGUCAUAAUUUUAUGUUUUAAGCCAUCGUCAUCGUAGCGGCGUGGUUGUAAAUGCAGAAAAGUGGGGGCCUCUUUAAAAAUAAAUCUAAAAGUACUUUAA